UACGGAGGGUGCGAGCGUUGUCCGGAAUUAUUGGGCGUAAAGAGCUCGUAGGCGGUUCGUCGCGUCGGCUGUGAAAACCCGGAGCUCAACUCCGGGCCUGCAGUCGAUACGGGCGGACUUGAGUGUUGCAGGGGAGACUGGAAUUCCUGGUGUAGCGGUGAAAUGCGCAGAUAUCAGGAGGAACACCGGUGGCGAAGGCGGGUCUCUGGGCAACUACUGACGCUGAGGAGCGAAAGCGUGGGGAGCGAACAGG
rnacentral:rRNA from 1 species